rnacentral:rRNA from 1 species
AAGCGGAGGAAAAGAAACCAACAGGGAUUGCCUCAGUAACGGCGAGUGAAGCGGCAACAGCUCAAAUUUGAAAUCUGGCUCCCCCCGGGGGUCCGAGUUGUAAUUUGUAGAGGGUGCUUUGGCGUCGGCCGCGGCCUAAGUUCCUUGGAACAGGACGUCACAGAGGGUGAGAACCCCGUACGUGGCCGAUGGUCUUCGCCGUGUAAAGCCCCUUCGACGAGUCGAGUUGUUUGGGAAUGCAGCUCUAAAUGGGAGGUAAAUUUCUUCUAAAGCUAAAUACCGGCCAGAGACCGAUAGCGCACAAGUAGAGUGAUCGAAAGAUGAAAAGCACUUUGGAAAGAGAGUCAAAAAGCACGUGAAAUUGUUGAAAGGGAAGCGCUUGCGGCCAGACUUGUUUGCAGUUGCUCAUCCGGGCGUCCGCCCGGUGCACUCUUCUGCAGGCAGGCCAGCAUCAGUUCGGGCGGUCGGACAAAGGCCUCGGGAAUGUGGCUCCCUCCGGGGAGUGUUAUAGCCCGGGGCGCAAUGCGGCCAGCUCGGACUGAGGUCCGCGCAUCUGCUAGGAUGCUGGCGUAAUGGCCGCAAGCGGCCCGUCUUGAAACACGGACCAAGGAGUCUAACAUCUAUGCGAGUGUUUGGGUGUCAAGCCCGAGCGCGCAAUGAAAGUGAACGGAGGUGGGAACCUUUCGGGGCGCACCAUCGACCGAUCCUGAUGUCUUCGGAUGGAUUUGAGUAAGAGCAUAGCUGUUGGGACCCGAAAGAUGGUGAACUAUGCCUGAAUAGGGUGAAGCCAGAGGAAACUCUGGUGGAGGCUCGCAGCGGUUCUGACGUGCAAAUCGAUCGUCAAAUUUGGGCAUAGGGGCGAAAGACUAAUCGAACUAUCUAGUAGCUGGUUCUGCCGA